CCUACGGGAGGCAGCAGUGGGGAAUAUUGCACAAUGGGGGAAACCCUGAUGCAGCGACGCCGCGUGAGUGAAGAAGUAAUUCGUUAUGUAAAGCUCUAUCAGCAGGGAAGAAAAUUACGGUACCUGAGUAAUAAUCCCCGGCUAACUACGUUCCAGCAGCCGCGGUAAUAAGUAGGGGGCAAGCGUUAUCCGGAUUUACUGGGUGUAAAGGGAGCGUAGACGGCAGUGCAAGUCUGGGGUGAUAGGCGGGGGCUCAACCCCCGGACUGCUCUGGAAACUGUACGGCUGGAGUGCAGGAGAGGUAAGUGGAAUUCCUAGUGUAGCGGUGAAAUGCGUAGAUAUUAGGAGGAACACCAGUGGCGAAGGCGGCUUACUGGACUGUAACUGACGUUGAGGCUCGAAAGCGUGGGGAGCAAACAGGAUUAGAUACCCUUGUAGUC
rnacentral:rRNA from 1 species